rnacentral:rRNA from 1 species
UACGUAGGGGGCUAGCGUUGUCCGGAAUCAUUGGGCGUAAAGAGCGCGUAGGCGGUCUGACAGGUCUGCUGUGAAAACUCGAGGCUCAACCUCGAGAUGUCGGCGGAAACCGUCUGGCUAGAGUCCGGAAGAGGAGAGUGGAAUUCCUGGUGUAGCGGUGAAAUGCGCAGAUAUCAGGAAGAACACCCGUGGCGAAGGCGGCUCUCUGGGACGGUACUGACGCUGAGACGCGAAAGCGUGGGGAGCGAACAGG